rnacentral:rRNA from 1 species
UGGGGAAUAUUGCACAAUGGGCGCAAGCCUGAUGCAGCCAUGCCGCGUGUAUGAAGAAGGCCUUCGGGUUGUAAAGUACUUUCAGCGGGGAGGAAGGUGUUGAGGUUAAUAACCUCAGCAAUUGACGUUACCCGCAGAAGAAGCACCGGCUAACUCCGUGCCAGCAGCCGCGGUAAUACGGAGGGUGCAAGCGUUAAUCGGAAUUACUGGGCGUAAAGCGCACGCAGGCGGUCUGUCAAGUCGGAUGUGAAAUCCCCGGGCUCAACCUGGGAACUGCAUUCGAAACUGGCAGGCUAGAGUCUUGUAGAGGGGGGUAGAAUUCCAGGUGUAGCGGUGAAAUGCGUAGAGAUCUGGAGGAAUACCGGUGGCGAAGGCGGCCCCCUGGACAAGACUGACGCUCAGGUGCGAAAGCGUGGGGAGCAAACA